rnacentral:rRNA from 1 species
UACGUAGGGGGCAAGCGUUGUCCGGAAUCAUUGGGCGUAAAGAGCGUGUAGGCGGUCCGGUAAGUCGGCUGUGAAAGUCCAGGGCUCAACCCUGGGAUGCCGGUCGAUACUGCCGGACUAGAGUUCGGAAGAGGCGAGUGGAAUUCCGUGGUGUAGCGGUGAAAUGCGCAGAUAUCGGGAGGAACACCUAUGGCGAAGGCAGCUCGCUGGGACGUUACUGACGCUGAGACGCGAAAGCGUGGGGAGCAAACAGG